CCACUCAGCGCUGUUGCCUUUCUUUUGGCAUCGGCUGCUGGUUGUUUUGGCUUUGACCGCCUCGUUUGCGGUCUCUGCUCAAGUUCUACGGUUACCGUACGUGCAUAGAUCUAGAACCCUCAACCUGUCUUGCUCAAGACGGCGUUGACACUCUUGUCUAUCUCUGGUAGAAGUUGGCUCGUUCCGAUUUUUUUCUAGAGUUUGUUUAGGAGUCGUCAUGCUAAAGCCGUUUCUGUAGCUUUGUUGGUGGAGCGGACCUAGGUCUAGCUAUGGCAUGUAAUGUCGUGGCUAUCCAAUUC
rnacentral:rRNA from 1 species